AUUGCAAAUAUUUUACGUUGUAGAGUUAUAUGAAAUGCUAUAGAUUUAUAAUUUUCAUUGUAAUGUUAUCUCAGCAUUCGUUUUAUCCGUGUACACUGUAGAAAAUAUCAUUGCUGUUUGUUUUUCAGACAGCCGUGCCAUUUUCAUAUCCUCUGCAACACUUUCCAACACUUAAAAAAUACUGGAAAGAAGAGGUAACCGCUGACUCGUCACCGCACAAGCCAACCAACACCAUUGAUGCCAGACUGCAUUCCCUCAUACAAGACAGGACUUCUCAGUCAAGAGAACAGACAACUGAGACUUCAGCAGCGGUGGUCUCAAUAUCAAACUGAAUUGAAGAAUAUUCAGAACAACAAGAUGAGAAAAAACCAUUCCACUUGGCUCACUGCUAAAUCUAGUGUGUCUACUGAAGUUUAAAACGGACAAGUCAAGGUCGAGAAAUCUGUCGCAGCUUGAAGCGUAUGGGAGAGUGUCAAGGGAUUUCACAGACCACAUUGAUACAGAUAAAGAAAAACUGAACUUAGUCCAUUGAUGAGAAUCGCACUUGGCAAUCACGUUUCUGACAAAUCUCGCUAUCUGGGACAUUUAUCGAGACAUCGCGUAAACGUAAUCACGAACUGCGACACGACUAUUGAAACCAAACCCACGUCUCAAUUUUUUCCAACGACCACUUAAGUAAAACGUUAAUCAGA
rnacentral:misc_RNA from 1 species